GAUGGCUUUUAGGGGGGUGAUGGGCAGCUGGACACAGAAGGGGACUUUCCUUUUCUUUUGCUGCUCUGAACUGGCUUUUGAAGCCCUUUGCCCUGCUCAGAUGAUUGCGACAGAGCAGCCCGAGGCAUGGCCAAGCUCUCCCAUAUCAACCCAGGCCAAGCACAGGGAGCCGUGGACUUCUCCAGCUUUCCUUGGGCCUGCCCCCGCCCCUUGUUUUUCGAGGACAAAGAGAAACUGCAUUUAUGCAGUUACCAAGGUGUCUGAUGCUCGGCACAGCUGACAUGUUCGACUCAGUGGGCUUUACAUCACGAGGUGAACCUCAUCUCACCGACGUCUUCCAGAGGAGAGCACAGCCCAGGAGAAGGUGAAGGCAAACAGAGUCGGUGCCAUCCUCCCCCCUGCAGCCCAGCCCUCUGGCGGUGCAGGAGCAUUUCCCACCGUGACGUUUUGCUUCUCGACGCCCUUCCCCAGCUGCUGCGAGCUGCAGCCUCCCCUUGCCCCGACCUCUCCUCCCCGCAGCUCGGGGAGCAUCCUGGCCCUGGGAGCCUCGGUCCGGAGGUCGGUCUGUCCGCCUGCCCCCCGCUGCUGCUGCAGCUGCCCCUCAGCCGUGCCUCCAGAACACCACGGAGGGUUUUGGUUUCCUGCCCGCGCUCCUCGCACCAGCACUCUCCUAGCGAUGAGCAGGGAGAAAGAGGACGAGCGCGGCCACCCCGGGACUAAAUAUCAAAGAACAACGUGCUUUGAACCCGAUCCAUAGCAGCAAAGAUGGGAAAGCGGUCAGGCAGGCAAGCUCAGACCGAGAUGCCGACUUCUCCAGCUCUGAGGGUUGCUCCAAGUCACAACCGGAGCCGUGCAUGGGCCUGGAGCUCUGCGCCCCCCGGCACAGCCCCGUGCACAGCGCAGGCGACCUGGCAAAUUCCUGCAGCUGCUGCAGCCCGGGCAGGGCUGCGCUCCCCUUCCCAGCCACUAAAUAAAUAACGCAGAGGGGCCUGCCGGCUAGGGGCU
rnacentral:lncRNA from 1 species